AAAAAUAUAAUUUCUUCAUUGAUAUAUAAAAAUAAACUCUUCGUCCUAGCUCCUUCUGUUCUUUCUUUUCAUCUUUCAUUCUUUUCUCUCUGUUGACCUUUUUUAAGAAGUUACUUGGUAGCAGCGUCAAUCCGAUUUUAAUGGUGUCAAGUUAAUUAAGCGGCUUCAAUUUUGGAGGCAGGGGACAAUAAUAAUGGUAAAACAGAAAAAAUAAGUUGGGUUUGAAUUUUACAGUUGAUUAAAAGUUCAAUACGGAACUCUGCUCUAGCUUUGAUCCUUCUACCGGCAUGAUUAGAGGUAAUCAUGUUUAAAAGUCUUUUGAAAAUUUCUAAGCAGAAAGCUAUUUGUCUAACUUCAUUAGACAUAUUAAAUGAGAUUCACUUCAGGGGAGUAUUUCAAAGCGAUUUCCAGAAGAUUAGAGGUUCAUUGUUUAAUUGAUUCAAGUUUUGUGUUUUCUUUUAAUAAAUAUCCAUAUUUCAAUGCAAAUGUAAAUUUAUGUUAUUUUUUCUUUUAGUAAAUUUCAAUAUGUAAAUGUAAGUUUUUGUUAUUUAUAUACCAACUUUUAGCAGUA